rnacentral:lncRNA from 1 species
UAAUGGAUCCUCACAGAUCCAUGGGAAAAGAUACCCAUAUGAUAAUAAGGUCCCAUAAGAAUGUAAAUUUUCAUGUAGAUACUAUGUAAUCCAGGCCACAUCGAAAUAUUGUGCUGCUAAAUGCUAGCUUUUAGCCCAGAUAGGAUUCUUAUGGUUCUGGUUGUAAUCAGAUCCGUCGACACUCUGUCAUAUGGGAACUACGGUAUCUAUAAAUAGAGCUUCCUACAAGCUCUUUAUCUCAAUUUACAUAACGAAUAAAUACUCUUACAUUCUCCAGUCAAUUACAUCUCUUACAGAACUGACUUAUUAGAGUGGCCUUUGAGGAGUACCCCGGCCUCUUACUCUAGUCGUACUUUAGCAUUCUCAGAAUCGGCUCUGUUCAAGGUCGAUAAUGGUUGCCAUAUUCUGACCACGAUAGGUCUUAUGGUAGAACAUUAAAGUGAAAAAGCCAAGAAAUGACGAAGGCAAGAACCAUGCAAGCAAGUAGAACAUUUAAAAGCCGACGACCAUGCCAGAUGCUUUCAGUCUCGAUGACGAUAACAGGUGUUUCUGUUGAAGCUGUAUUGGUUGCAAUGUUGAUGUUGAUUGCCUGCUCGCCAACAAUGUUCAGUGCAUUGGCACCACAGAUUUCACAAAUUCUGCAUAAAAUAAAUACAAUGUGGUGAGGAAAGUAGAAAAUAUACAAACAGAAAACUUAUUGAAG